GCUAAUACAUGCAAGUCGAACGAACUCUGGUAUUGAUUGGUGCUUGCAUCAUGAUUUACAUUUGAGUGAGUGGCGAACUGGUGAGUAACACGUGGGAAACCUGCCCAGAAGCGGGGGAUAACACCUGGAAACAGAUGCUAAUACCGCAUAACAACUUGGACCGCAUGGUCCGAGCUUGAAAGAUGGCUUCGGCUAUCACUUUUGGAUGGUCCCGCGGCGUAUUAGCUAGAUGGUGGGGUAACGGCUCACCAUGGCAAUGAUACGUAGCCGACCUGAGAGGGUAAUCGGCCACAUUGGGACUGAGACACGGCCCAAACUCCUACGGGAGGCAGCAGUAGGGAAUCUUCCACAAUGGACGAAAGUCUGAUGGAGCAACGCCGCGUGAGUGAAGAAGGGUUUCGGCUCGUAAAACUCUGUUGUUAAAGAAGAACAUAUCUGAGAGUAACUGUUCAGGUAUUGACGGUAUUUAACCAGAAAGCCACGGCUAACUACGUGCCAGCAGCCGCGGUAAUACGUAGGUGGCAAGCGUUGUCCGGAUUUAUUGGGCGUAAAGCGAGCGCAGGCGGUUUUUUAAGUCUGAUGUGAAAGCCUUCGGCUCAACCGAAGAAGUGCAUCGGAAACUGGGAAACUUGAGUGCAGAAGAGGACAGUGGAACUCCAUGUGUAGCGGUGAAAUGCGUAGAUAUAUGGAAGAACACCAGUGGCGAAGGCGGCUGUCUGGUCUGUAACUGACGCUGAGGCUCGAAAGUAUGGGUAGCAAACAGGAUUAGAUACCCUGGUAGUCCAUACCGUAAACGAUGAAUGCUAAGUGUUGGAGGGUUUCCGCCCUUCAGUGCUGCAGCUAACGCAUUAAGCAUUCCGCCUGGGGAGUACGGCCGCAAGGCUGAAACUCAAAGGAAUUGACGGGGGCCCGCACAAGCGGUGGAGCAUGUGGUUUAAUUCGAAGCUACGCGAAGAACCUUACCAGGUCUUGACAUACUAUGCAAAU
rnacentral:rRNA from 2 species